UCAAGUCUUUCCCUUGUCAGAAUAAUCUGCUGCUUGUAUUUGGCUAAGUGUUCAUUUAACCCUUUUAGAUUCUGCUUUACUGCCUUCAGUUUGCUCCAGAUCUGCUGCAUGUGUGAACCAUAAUAUACCUUAUCCCAUACUUGCUCAACAAUAUCAUGAAACUGCUCAUGCUCCAUUACAUUGUUGUGAAGCCUGAAAGGUUUAGGAUGUAAUGGCUUAUACACA
rnacentral:lncRNA from 1 species